rnacentral:rRNA from 1 species
GAGUUUGAUCAUGGUUCAGAUUGAACGCUGGCGGCAGGCCUAACACAUGCAAGUCGAGUGGCAGCGGGAAAGUAGCUUGCUACUUUUGCCGGCGAGCGGCGGACGGGUGAGUAAUGCCUGGGAAAUUGCCCAGUCGAGGGGGAUAACAGUUGGAAACGACUGCUAAUACCGCAUACGCCCUACGGGGGAAAGCAGGGGACCUUCGGGCCUUGCGCGAUUGGAUAUGCCCAGGUGGGAUUAGCUAGUUGGUGAGGUAAUGGCUCACCAAGGCGACGAUCCCUAGCUGGUCUGAGAGGAUGAUCAGCCACACUGGAACUGAGACACGGUCCAGACUCCUACGGGAGGCAGCAGUGGGGAAUAUUGCACAAUGGGGGAAACCCUGAUGCAGCCAUGCCGCGUGUGUGAAGAAGGCCUUCGGGUUGUAAAGCACUUUCAGCGAGGAGGAAAGGUUGAUGCCUAAUACGUAUCAACUGUGACGUUACUCGCAGAAGAAGCACCGGCUAACUCCGUGCCAGCAGCCGCGGUAAUAC